GACGAACCGAGCGAACGUUGUUCGGAAUCACUGGGCUUAAAGGGCGCGUAGGCGGGCGGCUAAGUCCGCGGUGAAAUCCUCCAGCUCAACUGGAGAACUGCCGUGGAUACUGGUCGUCUCGAGGAAGGUAGGGGUAUGCGGAACUAUCGGUGGAGCGGUGAAAUGCGUUGAUAUCGAUAGGAACUCCGGUGGCGAAGGCGGCAUACUGGACCUUUUCUGACGCUGAGGCGCGAAAGCCAGGGGAGCAAACGGG
rnacentral:rRNA from 1 species